UUUCUCUAUUUUUUCUCUCUUCCUCCCUCCCUUUCUUUCUCUCUCUUUCUUUCUUUGCUUCCUUCCUUCUUUGUUUCCUUUUUAAAGUAGUGCCAGGUGCUAUUCUAGAGAAUAGUGUGGUUACUAGAACAAAAACCCUGCCCUCAUCGAACUGACAUUCUAAUGGGAGAAAUACAUACUACCUUUAUGAAUAAGUAAUCAUUAUCAAGUUGUGAUCUGUGCUGCAGAGAAAAAUUAAUUAGGGAAAGGACCUAGAGGAUAGUGGAAGGAUGAAGAAACAGAGGGAUCAGGGAGGUCUGAAGAGGUGACAUUUGAAUGGAAACUUGAAAAAAGUGAAGGAGCAAGCAGCAUUCAAGUAAAGAGCACCCAGAUGGAAGAAGCAAGUGCAAAGGCCCUGGGGCAAAUCUCUUUUAGCACAUUUAAGGAAUAGUCAGGAGAACCACUCAUGUGGAGCAGAAAGAGCAAAGAGGAAGGCAGAUCCCUCACCAGUAACCAAAUCAGUGGCCCCUUGAUCUUGGACUUCCAGCCCCCAGAACUGUGAGAAGUAAAAUGUCUGCUGUUUAAGCCACACAGUCUAUGACAUUUGUUAAAAUGGCCUAAUAAGGUAUUAAGGAAUUAGUGUGAAAUACCGAAGGUGCAUGAAAGAUGCAUGAUUGUAGAGAUGUGCAGAAAACCUCCCAAAGGAGAUGCCCUUUAGCAGGUGCUCUCAGUCAAAUAAACUAUCAUUUAAUGCGAGUUCUGCCUGAGACUGCCUGGUGUGGAGUUCACUGUUCUUCAAAAUGGUGAUAUUCUUAUCCAUACAUUUUUAUUUCAUACACUCUUUGCAUGAAUGUCCAGAAUCCACACCACAUUUGGCUCCAUUAAGAUUUUUUUUGGGGGGGUUGUGCCCACGCAUACAGAAGUUCCGGGGCCGGGGAUCAAACUCAAGCUACAGCAGUAGCCUGAGCUACAGAAGUGACCAUACCAGAUCCUUAACCCACUGAGCCACAUGGAAACUUUUCCACUAAGGUAUCUUUGCACCUCUUUUUAGUCAGUAAAUGUAAUAGCAUUUCUUUGAACUUCAAUUAAUUCAGUGAUCAUUAAAUUUUCCUCUUUUAUGAAUAAGUAAGUUAUAGGUCUAUUCUUUGAGACAAAAACUCUCUAAGAAUAGUAGAAAUUCUUAUAUAUGUUGUCCUGUGUUCAUUUUAUUCAUUCUUUUACCUAAAGCCCACAAGCCAUGGAAAUCCUAAGGAGGAAAAGAAGGUCAGAGUCCUUUCAUGGAUAAUGUUUAGGCCCAGCUCCUCAGGUUAUGGUCUCCAUGGGAGGAGUCCCAGCUUUUCACCAUGUGCACCCAAAGUCAAUUUUACAUCACAGGCUAUUAAAAUAUUUUCUCUACCAAAAACCCAAUAGCCUUCUUAGCAAGUCAGAGAAAUUGCACAAAGAGAAAUAAAUCUAUCUUCUCCAAAGUAAAGAAGUGGGUGAUGAGUUUCUCAAGGGGGCUAAAUUAAGGCUCCUGGAGCUGAAGUUUACAUUGCAAUUUUACAGAUUUUGUUGAUAGAAAUGUGUUUGUUGUUUAGUUUCAUUUUGCUAUCUUGUUCCACAGUAAGAAAAAUCACACUGCUUGCCAAACUGAGAAACUUAUUAGAAACCUGCGGUGUUUGCCUGCUUCAAUUUUCACACAAUGGAGCCAACAUGAGACAAGGAUAGAGCUGUGAACAGAAAAUGUGAAAACCUUGCAAAAAUUCACAGCUGGAGACAGCACCACUGGGCUGCUGUGAGGAAGCCCCUUCCAACUUCAGCAUCCUCCGCCUUCUCAAAGAUAAUUUCAAGGUUGGUCUUGCCUGGAAAAUUGCAUCUGGAGGUGAAGUCUUAGCAGUGCAUUGGAACUACAAGAUACAGUUGAGAAACUACUGUGGAGAUGCCAAGAGACUUUAUAUUCAUUUUAAUCAUUCCAGCAUACUUCAAAGGGGCUUUGAAUCAUCAGGUGGUUUUAAAAUGCCAUGUGGGAACCCCCAAUGCAACUGGGUUGAAGUGAGAAAAGGCCAUCCUAAGUCAAUAAAUGUGUUUGUUUUUUAUUCAAUUUUUUGUGAGGCAUCUUUGCCAAUAUUCCUAAUAGGCACACUUGGAGAACCCAGUGCAAAAAUCACACCAAAAAUCAAUUAGUGAAAUAAGCUUUGGGAAAUAUUAAUGGGAGUAGAUGAAAAAAAAUAGAUUAAAAAUUCCCAGAAGUACUAGAAAAAACUCCAGAUCCAAGCCAAAGAGAGAAGCCAGUGGAUAAUCAAUAAAUUAAACUGAGAAUGAAAGGCAAAUAUUCUUAAAAUAACAUUUCAUUUUUUUUAAUUCGAAAAAAAGAAAGAAAACUUUCUAGCAUGACUUUGUCCAAAUGGCUUAAAACCACAACACUGUCUGGAGAAAAUUUCACAAAUGAGCAUUCUGUUUCCUAAUGACACUCAUCUGUUCUACUUCGUUACAAAAAUCUCCAAGGAAAGGGACAUGUGCUUAUAAAUGACAAAUCUAUCUUGCUCAGCAGAGAAAAACGGGCUUUUCUUUCAUUUUCUAUGAUUGGCUGUUUCAUCCUAAGAAUGUAGGAUUGGUAUAGUUUUCCAAGAACCUGAUUCAGAAGGAGAGCUCUGACUCAACCAAUAUCUGUCUUAAAUAAUUCUUGCCAAUAUAGACCCUAGUGUCUCCCUAUGCUCAUUCAUAAAACUUUGAAAAAAGCUUGUAAAUUCUCCUACACUAUUUUAAAGAAACAACAAUAACAGUUUAAAAAUGCUCUUUUCCAGAAAAUUAGAUCAUUAUAUAAAUGUCUGAAAUGCUCUUUGACCUUUGACCCAAGCUGGGGCUCCUCCUACCUGCUGCUAGUUGGCCUUGGUUCUCCGAUGCCUUGUCUCUAGAAUAUAUACUUUAGAUGCAUGUAUUUUGUGGUAUUUGUGUUUCAUAAGUGGAAUCAUAUUAUACAUACCUUUCUGAAUAUUGUUUUUGUUCACUGGUCAUGGGAUAAGGAACUUUCCACGCUAAUACAAACAGAUCUACCUCAACCUUUUUAAUCAGUUCAGAGUACUCCUUGUGAAUUUUACUGUGUAUUUUGCCAUUCUCCAUUGGUAGACACUUAGGGUUUUUAUAGUUAUUUACUUUUAUAAAAACACUUUAAUGAGCAUCUUUUCACAUGCCUCCUGGGGCACUCCGCAACAAGUUUCUCCAGAGUACAAAAAAGACAAGAGAAAUGCCUUAUGCUUUUUAAUCACUGUGCUAAAAUAGCGAAGAGUAAAGAACCACAUACAUGCACCCAUUGGAAUAAAAGAAAUAAAAUCACAACUUUCCCAAAAAGAAUCAAAAUGCAGGUUGGUUUGGAGUUGAUUCUUAAAAGUCGGAGAUUCCUGGGUUCAAAUAUCAAUCCUAGUUCCAAACUGAAAACAGUCUGUAUCCAUUCAUGAGAAUAGCAAAAUAUAUAAUAAAAUACCUAAGGAAUGAUAUGUAACUGAUUUAAAAAAUGAGGCAGACCUGAUUAUACUAACUUGGAAAAGUGUAACUUAGUAUAACUUUAAAAAAUUUAUGUGACUUUUCCAAACCAUGGUUUCACCACCAAGAGGUGGAAAUAAGCACUUUUAAAAGCAUCUACAGCUCAAGGUUGUUGCACAGAUUAAAUUAUAGAAUGGCAAAGCACUUAGUGCACCACCUGACACAGAGUAAGUGCUCAAUAAAUAUUAGCUUCCAUUAUAAUUCUUAAUGUGUCCCACAGUGAUGGAGAUAUUUCAACAACUCAGGGCCAUUUACUAACGUCAUUUACUAAGCUUCUGUUACAUGGACCAUGGACAAGGUUUCAUGCUACCUGAGUUAGGAAAACACAGAUGAAUGAAAUAAUCUUUGUCUCAAGGAUCUUGGGAAUAUAUCUGGGAAUAUAAAUCACAUCCAGGAUAACCUUAAUUAAAAAUGUAAUGUAGGUGUUCCCUAGUGGCCUAGAGGGUUAAGGAUCCAGCAUUGUCAGUGCUGUGGCUUGGAUCACUGAUGUGACAUGAGUUCAAACCCUGACCCAGGCACUUGCUCAUGGCAUGGGUGAAGACAAAAAAAUAAAAAUAGAAACUUUUUUUUUAGAAGUUAAAAAAAGUUAAUAAAUAAAUUUUUUAAAACAAUGUAGUAAGUAUCAUAAGAGAAUGUCAUAACAGAUUGCUAGUAGUUUAUCUGCCUGCCACCAUACCCUUCUUUAAGAGAUAGCAUCCCCCUGCUUUGGAAGAACUGUUCCCCCUCCAGUCCCAACCACUGAUGUGAAGAAAACCAUUUGUAGAUACCAACUGGCCACAGCUGAUAGGUCAGGAAAUAGGCAUGUGAGUUAGUAAUGUGACCCAAACCAGGCCAAUCAGAGAAUGUUUCACACUAAGAACGGAGGGAAAGGGGUGGAUCUUCUCCAGUGGGAAAGGCAUGAGAGGGGAGGCUUGGGUACUAUUUGCAGGAGCACAUGAUAAGAGUGGUAGCAAAAGCAAAGAGGCAUGAUAGAAUUUGAGUCUUGGUCCCAGAGACCCAGCCUCAACCCUGCCUUUCGGUAGCAUGGGGUAGCAUUAGUUUUACUGGAGCAGGGAUGUCUAUGUGUGUUUGUGUGUGAGUUUAUUUAAAAAAAAAAAAAAAAACUUUUUUUAAUUUUAUUUUUAAGGCGGCACCCACAGCAUAUGGAAGUUCCCAGGCUGGGGGUCAAAUCGGAGCUGCAGCUGAUGGCCUACAUCACAGUCACAGCAAUGCAGAAUCCAAGCCACAUCUGUGACACAGUUUCUGGCAACACAGGAUCCUUAACUCACUGAGCAAAGCCAGGAAUUGAACCCACAUCCUCAAAGAGACUACAUCAGGGCCUUAAUCCACUAAGCUACAAUGGGAACUCCUGUGUUUGUAUUGACUAAUAUUGCCUCACAUCUAGAAGAGUGCAAACACUCACUACAUAUUUCCUGAAUGGGUAAAGAACAUCCUGUAACAUAGCCUUCUUUUCUCUAUACAAGCUAAAAUUUCCUUCUUUCCUUGCAACCACAGGCAGCAUUAUUCUUGGUAAAGUGGAAUCUUUUACAAUCCCGCUUCAGAAAGAAAGAGGAAAGGAGGCCAGAAGUAAGGAAAUAUACCUCAGGAUAUUGUCUGGGCCACUUGGAUAAUGGCUCCGGAUACAACUCAGGACCAGAUCCUGUCAGAGUCCUAUCCUACUCUUCCACCACCAACCAGAGUUACGUUGAGUCUGGAUUAUUAAAACCUCUCAGGUAGGAAUUCCCUUGUGGCUUAGUGGGUUAAGGAUCCAGUACUGUCACUGCUGGGGCUCAGGUCACUGCGGUGGUGCAGGUUUGAUCUCUGACCUGGGAACUUCUGCAUGCCAUGGAUAUGGCAAUAAAUAAAUAAAUAAAUAAUUUUUUAAUUUAAAAAACCAAAACCCAUCUUCUAUAGGAUUUAAUCUGGUUUAAUAAAACACAGGUUUGCCUACUUGGUUGCCAAUACUGCAGAUUUUAGAAAGUAGAAAUCAAAAGACAGUCUGUCAUUUGCCUGCUUCCAUCCCUCCUAUCUGUAUAUGUCUUCUUAUUUUUCCUUCAGUGGGCCAACUUAUAAAUAAAUGGCCAAGUUAAAGACUGGUAGAUCUAAGAGGCUGGUAUUGAGUUUAUUGUCAAUAAGAAAUUCACAUUAAUGAGCUCAGAUUGGUAGUGGUUUGAUGUAAUGUCCAGGGAUUGAAUAGUUAGCAAACAUCCCAGCAGAUAUGAAAUACAUAGCUUACCGAGAAUCACAGCAUUAUUGAAAAAUUGCACAAUAUAACUCAAUGUGCAUAACAGGUUGUGACAUCAGUAAAUCAAAGCCAAAUAAAAGAUUGCCUCUCUGGCUGUUAGAACUGUGACAGUUUAUCCAACUGGCCUAAGAAGGUUACUUGAAUGGCAUAUUAUAUGUUUUAUUCUUCAACUUCUAUUGACUGCCUACUAUAGCUGGGAACAUUAAUAGGAGUUAUUGGGCAGAGACGAAAAAAAAAAACCAAGUACAAAUCUCAGCCUGCAAACUCUAGCAGAUGGCUGAGACAUAGUCGCCAAUUGUCACAUGCUUUUGCCAAACAUAAAAUUCAGAAGUAAGGCAAAUGUGAAAAAGAGAAACAAAUAAAAACAUUUAGAUAUUGAGAUCUACACAUGGGAAAUCCUUGAAUAUGUGCUGGAAAAUGAGACCUGGCAUGGGUGACUUUAUUUCUUCAAGAGAGUAGCCUUUGACCCAGUUUCUAUUAUACGCCAAAUAAUGAUGGCCACCUUAUUCAGAUGGCUAUGAUAUAGCAUCGGUCAUGGAAGGAUUCUGGAAGGAUUCUCCCAAAAGACAACCAGUAGAUCAUGUCAUCCAUGAAAACAAUAAAGCGGGGCUGUGCACACAGGCUAACAUGAGGAAAAGGAUAGAGGUAAACUUGGAAGGGCACAUGGGGGAUGUAUGACACAUCGGACAGUCAAGAAUGCCCAGAGAUUUCUGGAGGUCACAACAAAUAC
rnacentral:lncRNA from 1 species